rnacentral:rRNA from 1 species
CACCCGAUCCCAUUCCGAACUCGGCCGUGAAAGCUUGCAGCGCCGAUGGUACUUUGUCUUAAGGCACGGGAGAGUAGGUCGCUGCCUGGUCU